rnacentral:lncRNA from 1 species
ACAGAACUCUACUAGGAGCUUUACAUAAAUACAGUCUUACUGUGAACCCUGGCUUAGAAGUGAUACAGAUGUGUCCUGGUAAAUCAAGAAAGAAAUUACUGUCAAAGUGGGAGGACAAGCACACUGUAUAACAGCUCUGGAGGAAUCAUAGAAUGGCUUGGGUUGGAAGAGAUCCCAAGGAUCAUUGACUUCCAACCCCCCUGCCACAGGCGGAUCCACCAACCUCCAGAUCUGUCACUAGACCAGACUGCCCAGGGCCCCAUCCAACCUGUCUUGAACACCUCCAAGGGAUGAGGCAUCCACAGCCACUCUGGGCAGCCUGUUCCAGAUGUACACACGAUUUAAAUAUCAAUAACAAUACUUUCAAUUACGGUCUACAGCUGCUAUCUACAAUACCUGAAGAAAAAUACUGCUUUGUGGAAGCAUCUGCCACCCAGACACUCCAGUGCUUGAGCUACAAGUCUCUGUUUUUUCCAUGUAGCUCUGAAUGAGUCUGUUUGCUGAAACUCUGUUACAAAUACAGACUGUACAAAAGAAAUGCAGCUAUGAGGAUGUGGCCAAUAGCUUCAUCAGGAAGCUAUUUCACUCGCCAUUUGUUGCAGUUCGCUUCUGGAUGUUCCUUGGAUCUUCUGGCACAUGGCUGUAGGGAUAGAGGUAAGCAACCCUCUGCCCUGUAACGUGGAACAUGGGCUCUUCCAGUAGGGGCCAUCUUAGAUAGAAUUAUAGAACCAUAAAAUGGCUUGGGUUGGAAGGGACCUCAAGGAUCAUCAAGCUCCAAUCAUUGCCCAACUAUGCUUGUGCCUCCCCUUGGCUGGGGAAGGUUUUUCUGCAAUGUAAUAUAAGCAAACAGACAAUUAAAAAGGGAAAUAUCCUAUAGAUGCACAAAGGGACCUCACUGAGGGUUUGUUAGUAACUUGCUUCUGAGAGAGAUUUACAGUUUGGACCAAAGUACCAACUGGACAUAUUUAUCAUAAUUUUAUUGACUAGAUUGUUUGACUUUAUCUGGUAGGAUUAUUUCUAAACUUGAUUUAGGUUGGUUUUUUUUUGUUUGUUUGUUUUUUGUUUGUUUUGUUUUUCCAUUUGUUUGUUUGGAACACAGUGGUCUAAUGAAGCCACUGUUAUUACUCAGUUUUCUUUAUUUCAUCUACAUAUAAUAAUGACAGUAAAUAAUAAUAAGUAACAUAUUAUAUCUUCCUUCAGUGAGAAAAAUAAAUGUACAUAAAACAG